UAUGGUGGUUAUAGCAAGGGUGUCCACCUCUUCCCAUUCCGAACAGAGAAGUUAAGCCCCUUAGCGCAGAUGGUACUGGAUCUAAAGUCCGGGAGAGUAUGUCGCCGCCGAUU
rnacentral:rRNA from 1 species